UACGAAGGGGGCGAGCGUUGUUCGGAUUUACUGGGCGUAAAGGGCGCGUAGGCGGCCUUGUCAGUCAGGCGUGAAAGCCCCGGGCUCAACCUGGGAACGGCGCUUGGGACGGCGAGGCUGGAGUUCGGGAGAGGAGAGUGGAAUUCCCAGUGUAGAGGUGAAAUUCGUAGAUAUUGGAAAGACCACCGAUGGCGAAGGCACUCUACUGGGCCAUUACUGACACUGAGAGACGAAAGCUAGGGGAGCAAAUGGG
rnacentral:rRNA from 1 species